rnacentral:snRNA from 1 species
GGAUGUGAGGGCGAUCUGGCUGCGACAUCUGUCGCCCCAUUGAUCGCCAGGGUUGAUUCGGCUGAUCUGGCUGGCUAGGCGGGUGCCCCCCUCCUCCCUCACCGAUCCAUGUGUGUCCCUCCCGAAGCUGCGCACUUGGUCGAAGAGGACGACCUUCCCCCAUGAGGAAAGGAUCGGUCUUCGGUCAAGGGUAUACGAGUAGCUGCGCUCCCCUGCUAGAACCUCCAAACAAGCUCUCAAGAUUUUAAAAAAAAAAUAAAAAUAAAAAAAUAAAAACAAAACUACAGGCCAGAAGGGAAUUGCAAAAAGCACCCAAGCUA